rnacentral:rRNA from 1 species
UACAGAGGUCUCAAGCGUUGUUCGGAUUCAUUGGGCGUAAAGGGUGCGUAGGCGGCGCGGUAAGUCGGGUGUGAAAUCUCCGAGCUUAACUCGGAAACUGCCGUGGAUACUAUCAAUCUUGAAUACUGUGGAGGUAAGCGGAAUAUGUCAUGUAGCGGUGAAAUGCUUAGAUAUGACAUAGAACACCGAUAGCGGAGGCAGCUUGCUACACAGUCAUUGACACUGAGGCACGAAAGCGUGGGGAUCAAACAGG